rnacentral:rRNA from 1 species
CGAAUGCUGACAUAAGUAACGAUAAAGCGGGUGAAAAGCCCGCUCGCCGGAAGACCAAGGGUUCCUGUCCAACGUUAAUCGGGGCAGGGUGAGUCGACCCCUAAGGCGAGGCCGAAAGGCGUAGUCGAUGGGAAACAGGUUAAUAUUCCUGUACUUGGUGUUACUGCGAAGGGGGGACGGAGAAGGCUAUGUUGGCCGGGCGACGGUUGUCCCGGUUUAAGCGUGUAGGCUGGUUUUCCAGGCAAAUCCGGAAAAUCAAGGCUGAGGCGUGAUGACGAGGCACUACGGUGCUGAAGCAACAAAUGCCCUGCUUCCAGGAAAAGCCUCUAAGCAUCAGGUAACAUCAAAUCGUACCCCAAACCGACACAGGUGGUCAGGUAGAGAAUACCAAGGCGCUUGAGAGAACUCGGGUGAAGGAACUAGGCAAAAUGGUGCCGUAACUUCGGGAGAAGGCACGCUGAUAUGUAGGUGAGGUCCCUCGCGGAUGGAGCUGAAAUCAGUCGAAGAUACCAGCUGGCUGCAACUGUUUAUUAAAAACACAGCACUGUGCAAACACGAAAGUGGACGUAUACGGUGUGACGCCUGCCCGGUGCCGGAAGGUUAAUUGAUGGGGUUAGCGCAAGCGAAGCUCUUGA